UACAUGGCGUACUGCUCAGUAACACGUGGAUAACCUGCCCUUGGGACCGGCAUAACCCCGGGAAACUGGGGAUAAUUCCGGAUAACGCAUAUUUGCUGGAAUGCUUUAUGCGUCAAAAGGAUUCGUCUGCCCAAGGAUGGGUCUGCGGCCUAUCAGGUAGUAGUGGGUGUAAUGUACCUACUAGCCAGCGACGGGUACGGGUUGUGAGAGCAAGAGCCCGGAGAUGGAUUCUGAGACAUGAAUCCAGGCCCUACGGGGCGCAGCAGGCGCGAAAACUUUACAAUGCGGGAAACCGUGAUAAGGGGACACCGAGUGCCAGCAUCAUAUGCUGGCUGUCCGGAUGUGUAAAAUACAUCCGUUAGCAAGGGCCGGGCAAGACCGGUGCCAGCCGCCGCGGUAACACCGGCGGCCCGAGUGGUGAUCGUGAUUAUUGGGUCUAAAGGGUCCGUAGCCGGUUUGGUCAGUCCUCCGGGAAAUCUGAUAGCUCAACUAUUAGGCUUUCGGGGGAUACUGCCAGACUUGGAACCGGGAGAGGUAAGAGGUACUACAGGGGUAGGAGUGAAAUCUUGUAAUCCCUGUGGGACCACCUGUGGCGAAGGCGUCUUACCAGAACGGGUUCGACGGUGAGGGACGAAAGCUGGGGGCACGAACCGGAUUAGAUACCCGGGUAGUCCCAGCCGUAAACGAUGCUCGCUAGGUGUCAGGCAUGGCGCGACCGUGUCUGGUGCCGCAGGGAAGCCGUGAAGCGAGCCACCUGGGAAGUACGGCCGCAAGGCUGAAACUUAAAGGAAUUGGCGGGGGAGCACAACAACGGGUGGAGCCUGCGGUUUAAUUGGACUCAACGCCGGACAACUCACCGGGGGCGACAGCAAUAUGUAGGCCAAGCUGAAGACUUUGCCUGAAUCGCUGAGAGGAGGUGCAUGGCCGUCGCCAGUUCGUACUGUGAAGCAUCCUGUUAAGUCAGGCAACGAGCGAGACCCGUGCCCACUGUUACCAGCAUGUCCUCCGGGACGAUGGGUACUCUGUGGGGACCGCCGAUGUUAAAUCGGAGGAAGGUGCGGGCCACGGUAGGUCAGUAUGCCCCGAAUCUCCCGGGCUACACGCGGGCUACAAUGGAUGGGACAAUGGGUCCCUCCCCUGAAAAGGGCUGGUAAUCUCACAAACCCAUUCGUAGUUCGGAUCGAGGGCUGUAACUCGCC
rnacentral:rRNA from 1 species